AAGAAUUUUAAGGGAGGAUGGACUUAGCAUCAUUCACAUUUGAACACCAACCAAGAACCAAUGCUACCAGUCUUUGAUUCUGCUAUAAUUGAAAAACAGUAGCUGAUCAUUGUGGAGUACUCAAGACUGCAAGCUUCCAUAACCUUCCUUUGCUCAUGAGCUGUCCCCAUUUUUGGAAUGCCUUUGCUUCUGGAACUACGUGAGCAAAUCCACAAUUCUCCUGGUAAUUGAGCAACCAUCUUCCUCUUCCUCUCCCCAUCUUCUACAAAAGGAUCUGAAUCUCCUGGGAAUGGCAGACGGGGAGGAUGACCUGAUUUCCUGAUACACUGUCAUAUGGCCAUCCUCUCAAAGUGCUCCGUGACACUGGCCAUGGUAGGACAGAUCCACCUCUGCAGGUGAGGACAACCACUUUUUAUUUCCUAAGACAUUUGCUUUGGAGUAUGAGCUGCUUGUUUUGUGCACUCUAUUCAUGAUUAAAUUCCUUUUUAAUCAUUUAUAAUUUUAUUCGUUUCUGAUCUAUCAGUGAAAUAUCGGCAUGCAUGAAUCCUUCUGAGACUGAAAUGAAUCUUCAUAUUUAUGCAGUUUCUCUGAGUUAGAAGGAACAUGAGGUAGUAUCUCCCACAAUUUUUCAGUAAUUCAUUUUACGAUCUCCUAGCCCGAAUGCUCCUUAGGAGCAAAGAUGGCGAGGCUACCUCUUGCUUACUUUUGACUCGUCAUCAGGAAAGACCGAUCACUGGAAAAGGAUGUUAUGUCUGGUAAAGUAGAGGGCCAGUGAAAAUGAGGGAAACCCCCAAUGUGAUGGACUAACACAAUAGCUGCAACAACGGGUUCAACAUUUCAAUGACUGUGAAAGGAGAUUCAGGACCAGUCAAAGUUUUGUUCUGUUCUAUGUAAGAUCAUUGUGAGUUGGAGCCAGCUUGAUGGCUACUAACAACAAUAUCAGUCACUGCUGGUAUAUUUAAAAAAAUCAGGCACUGUUACCUCACAUGGAAGUGUAUUUUGUUUUUGGAAAGUGCACUAUUAAGCCAAAUAAAAUUUGUUUCUUUCAUUAACAUCUUCCAUUUAUAUGAAUGUUAGAGAUCCCACCUCCUCCCUUAGUCACAUAUCAUGAACCCAAAAUCAGACUGUCAGUUUGCUUAGGGAUGGAACACAUUCGUAUUUAGUAAGAAUGACUGCUAUCAUGCCUUCUGUUGAGCUUGAUUUUUCAGCAGAUCCACAAUUCUCCCAUUAAUUGAACAACUAUUUUGGUGUUAUUCAUGUGGCCUUCCUGUGGCAGUCAUGGCAGGUAAUGGAAACAGCAAGCCUUCCCUGAUCCUUAGCCAGCUCAAGGUAGAACUUCAAAGAGCAGCUGUAUUGGUUCUAGAUUACCUUUAUGUGGCAGCCCAGAAGUCCUGGCUACAACCCUAACUUCUCAUUACGCUAUGUCAUACUAAAUCAAACCGGUAGUCAGACCUGUGAAAAAAAUUGUGACAGUUGGACGUUUGGUAUUAUAUAGAACAAGUAUUCAGUUUACUGAAUUUUUACUCUAGCAUCUGGUGGUUUUGGCAUUGCUGGGAUGCAGUUUUAUUUUUGUGUUCAGAAUAGAAUGGGUUUCUGGGGUCAUUUCUCACACUUCUGCUCCAGAAAUUUGUGCACUUGGUAAAUACAUCUUUACUGCUAAGACUAAACUUGCUUUCCUGUUAAAAAUGUAGGUCUCGUAUCUCUUUUCUAAAAUCCUGGCCUUCUUAAGAACCCUAGUGUGGUUUCUCUGUCUUUGCUGAAGUUUACAAUGUUGUAUCAUUUAAAUACUUACUUUGCAUUUUAUUUACUUUCUUCUCCAUCCCGAAAUACAGAUUUUAGAGGCUCUCUCUUCUGCAGUUCCUGCCAAAAUUCACUGUGUUUGAGAUUGAUGAGCUUCUUGAUAAAAAGAUGUCAUGUUGAGGCUCCAUAGCCUGUGUCCCGGGAGACACUGCGUGGCUUGAAUUCAAGGCUAAACCAGGACAUGGUUAUUCUUGAAGUGGCUCCCAUGUGUUCCAUGUGACUAACCCAGAAGGCACUCAAAAAGGAAUUUUCGUUCUCUUGAACUAAAGAGGAAGUGACCUAAAACUCCCAUUUGUCUACAUCAUGGUGUUAGAGCAAGAACCCAGAAAGAGGCAGCAAAAGACCCAGGACUUACGGCUCUGAGCAAGUCACUUACCCCUGGGAGCCUGUGGUUCACUCACUCACUCACUGUGAUCAUUGACAUUGCGCGUCAACUUAGCUGGGCCAUGAUUCUUAGUUGUUUGGGAGCUACGAGUUGUUUGGCAGUCAUAUAAUGAUGUAAUCACUUCCAGGAUGAGAUCUGAUAUGAUGUGAUCACUUCCAUGAUGGGAUCUGCUGCCAGCCAAUUGAAAGGGAGUUUCCUUGGUGGUACGACCUGCAUCCAAUAUAGGAGGACUUUCUGGCCAGGAGUUUGGGCUUUUGCUUGCUCUGGAUCCUGCAACUGGCUCCUGUUCAUCUGACUUCCAGUUCUUGGAACUUGACCUAGCAGCUUACUUGUUGACAUUGGAAUUCAUCAACCUCCACGGUCUGUGAGCCAGUGGCCUGCUGUCUGGGAUUUGUUGGCCUCACAGCCUGGGAGCCAGAGGGCUGCUGUCUGACCUGCUGAUCUUGGGUUCACCGGCCCCUGCAGCUACAUGAGUCAGGAUAAGCCUCCAUCCUAAUUCAUGGACUUGGGACUUUCCAGCCUCUACAACCAUGUGAGCCAUUUCCUUGAUAUAAAACUCUCUCUCUCUCUAGAUGUUUCAAUGAUUUUGCUUCUCUAGAGAACCCAGCCUAACACGCUCAUUCACUCACUCACCAAGUGUCUGUGGAGUACUUGUGAGUGCUGGGAUAGAGUCCUGGCCCUUAUUGAGCUUUCAUUCUAAUGGGGAAACACAAACAAUAAACAGGAACAGAUUAAAAAAUUAAUAAAUAAAUGAGGUGAUUGCAGAUCAUGUUAAGUGUCAGGGAGAAAAUAGAGAGGAUAAAGGAAUUGAAAGUAAUAGGAUGAAAGAAGAUGGGUGGCUUGGACAGGCCCUUUUGAGGAAGCAACAUUUGAAGAAGGAUCUGAGUGCUGGGAAGUCAUGAGCCAUGGAAAAUUCCAGUGGAAGAGUGUCCCAGGCAGAGAGAAUGUCACGGUGUAAAGGCCUUGAACUGGGAACGUGCUUGGUGUGAGCCUAGAGUGGAAAGAAGGCCUAUGUGUCUGGAACAGAAUGAGCGAGUGGUGGGUGUGGGGAAGUAGGAAGCAAAGCAAGGUGGAGGGGGAAGGACCUUAGGGGGUGAGGGCAGAGAGUUGGGCUCUGUGGUCCAUGAUCAUGUGGUCCAUGAUCAUGAGGGCCUCAUCAGUUAUAACAAAGAAUUUGAGUUUUUCUACGUCCGAUGGGAAGACUUUGAUAAGGGGUGUGCUUGUGUGUCAGCGUGCUUGAACAUGCAUGUGUGCACAUCUGUGUGUUUCAGAUCCUAAUCUGCAAAAUAUAGAAUGAAAUGUUUGCAUAGAGUAGAGUGAAAAGCUUAAGAUAAAGGAAUGAAGGUCUUAAACUAGAAUUACAGACAUUUAAGAUGAUUAGCAGAUAGGCCUUUCUCCUGACUCUCCUCCCCUCCUCCAAUUUUGAUAAGCCUCAGGAAUGGUAAAGGCUUCUUCUUCUCCAUUCCUGAUGCUUUUCUUCCUGUGAAAGGAGCUCAAUUAGUGAACACCAGGCCUUCCCCCACGCCUGUCCCGGUUAGGAGGAAAAUCUGGGAUGCUCAAAAGUGGCAUCAUUAAAAAGCCCUAAACGUUCAAUAUUUAUUGAGUAUCUGCUCUGUGCCAGGCAUGAUGCUCGCUGUCAAAGAUUGUUGGUGUUGAUAGUUGCUGUUGAGUCAUCUCUGACUCAUAGCUACCUCGUGUAUUACAGAACGAAACAUUGCCUGGUCCUGUAUUGUCGUGGAUUGAAUUGUGUUUCCCCAAAAUGUGUCAACUUGAUUAGGCCAUGAUUCCCAGUAUUGUGUGGUUGUCCUCCAUUUUCUGACUGUAAUUUUAUGUUAAAGAGGAUUAGGGUGGGAUUGUAACACCCUUGGUAAGGUCACUUGCUAAGGUCCCUGAUCUCAUGUAAAGGAAGUUCCCCUGGAGUGUGGCCUGCACCACCUUUUAUCUCACAAAAGAUAAAAGGAAAGGAAAGCAAGCAGAGAGGGAGGACCUCAUACUGCCAUAAAAGCAGCACCAGGAGCAGAGCGUGUCCUUUGGAUCCAGGGUCCCUGUGGGUGGAGAAGCUUCUAGUCUGGAGGAAGAUUAAUGUGAAGGCUGGCAGAGAAAGAGAGUCUUCCCCUGGAGCUGAGGCCUUGAAUUUGGACUUUUAGCCUACUUUACUGUGAAGAAUUAAAUUUCUGUUUGUUAAAGCCAUCCAGUUGUGGCAUUUCUGUUAUAGCAGCACUAGAUGACUAAGACAUGCAUCAUCUUCAUGAUCAUUGGUAUUUUUGAGCCCAUUGCUGCAGCUACUGUGUCAGUCCAUCUCAUGGAGGGUUUCUCUCAUUGCUGCUGACCCUCUCUUUGACCAAAUAUGAUGCCUUCUCUAGCGAUUGGCCUUUCUUGAUUAUGUGUCCAAAGUAAGUGAGUAGAAAUCUCUCAUCCUUUCUUCCAGGGAACAUUGUGGUUGUAUUUCUUCCAAGACUGACUUGUUUAUUGCUACCAAGAAUACAGCAGUGAAAUCAGACAUGGUCCCUCUCCUUAAGGAACACACAGUCUAAAAGGGUUUGGGCAAGUCCCAAAGCAGUGCCAACAGUAUGUAAGAUAAAGGUCUAGAGUCUUUGGGAAACAUAAAGAAGGGGUGGGAGGUGUCAUUUUCCUAAACUAAAAUGUCUCCAGAACAUUGAUCUCGCCUGCUUUACAGGUUGUUUUAGCAAAGAGGGCUUUGCCCUGGGAUGAAAAUCUAGAAACCAGUAUCUAGGGUAUAUUCUGGUGUCUUUUGCUGCCUUUGUUUUGGAAAUGAGCCAAAGAUUUCCCUCAAUUUUUUGAACUUGCGUUAAUCUAAAUAUGAUUUGUUUUUGCUGUGCGAAUGAUUAUAUGGCUCUAUAAUCAUUUGCAUGUAGAGUGGUGAAAAAUGGAAAUCUGUUACCCAUUAUCAUGUAAAUCCUAUGUUUCGAUAUUUUCAGUGUCACUAUACUUAUAAGUUUUUUAAGUGUCUUUUCUUUCAGCUGUUGGGGAGAGUAGAUUGUCAUAUCACCAAGUGAAUUUUUUUUUUUUUUUUAACUUCAGGUUAAUAAAUCUAAAGUUUGCAGAGAGCUGCAUUUGGAUAUUCUACCCUUGUUAAAUGUGUGCUGAUGGAAGGGGAGAAUCCUAAGCCAGUGGCAGAUGCUGCUGACAGGGCAGGCCCAGUAGAGGGGUGUGUGGAAGACACCAAGGCAGCAGCGGAAUGGGCUCAAAGACAACCCGCUCCUCUGAGAAGGUUUGCAUUUAAAAUUGCCCUAUUAUGAAUUGAGAGAUGGCUCACCAAGGGAGAUUUGGGGAAAUGGAGAAUGAAUAACUGCUGUUCUCAACAGAAACAAUUCCUGGAAGUAGGAGCCGAUGAACAGUUAGGUGGAGAAAUGGAUGACUAAGUGUGUAUUUCUCCAAAUGGAUGGGCUGCCCUAUGUCUUUAUUAAUGACUGAUGGGCUAGCUGUCUUAUCUGAAUUCAUGAGAGAUUAAGUUCAGGUGGGAAAGGGAUAAAGACUGAGAGCUGGUUUCAAAAACAAAAGGUAUGGGCUUUUAAGGUGACCUUAUUUCUUUGCAGCGGUACACAGACCAGUUCUGAUAUCAAGGGCUUCAGGCAGCCUUUGCAAAGUAUUUGUUGGUAUGAGAACCAGCAGGAAUCCAUGUUGGGUCUAUCAUGACAAAUACUUCCAUCCUUGUUGUUCAGAGAAAAGGAAAAGAUAAAGUGUUGGUCCACGGGGCUGUCUUUAAAUAUACCAAUUCCUUAUAAGUCCGUGAGGUAUUCAAGGUUAGCAUAUUAGCCAUUUUUGAUGUUUUUAUUGCCAUCACGUCAUUUCCAAUUCAUGGUGACCUUAUAUAUAACAGAAUAAAACAUUGCCCAGUCCUGCGCCAUCUUCAAGAUCCUUGGUAAGUCUGAGUUCAUUGAUGGAACUGUUGUGUAGAGCCUUUCAUCCUAGAGGGCUCAUCUUUCAGCACUAUACUGGGCAAUAUUCCAUUGUGAAUAUGGGUUUUUAAUGGAUUAUUUUUAGAGGUAGAAGAACAGGCCUUUCUUCCUUGUCUGUCUUAGUCUUGAAGCUCUGCUGAAAACUGUCCAGCAUGGGUGUGCCUGCCAGUGUUUGAAAAUACCAAUGGCAUAGUUCCCAGCAUUGUAGAAACUCGCAAGCCACCACAGUAUGACAAACUCCCAGAUGGGUGAUGUUAUCAGCCACAGAGGCUGGGUUAAACUCUGGUGACAACCAACUCCCAAAUCUCAGUAUUUAAAAAACAAAAAAAGGUGUAUUUCCUAUUCAUGCACUUGUCCAUUUUCUUUUCUGCAUUGUGGUAUCUCUAUGACCCAGUCUGACAGAAUAACCACUAGCUAAGAAAUUGCUGGUCAGUGUGGGCAGAGGAACAAAAGAGAGUGGAAAAUUGCAUGUUGGCUCUUAAAGCUUCCACCUGGGAGUGACACAUGUCACUGUCACCCCCUUUAAUGGCCAAAGCAAAUCACAUGGCCACACCCAACUUUAAGAGGGUGAGAAAUUGCCAUCCUACCAUGUGCUCAGAUGCAAAGCCAGAAAAAUUUGGUAGAAGUGCUAAUGACUAUCACAGCUAUAAAUGAUGUACAUAAAUGAACUACAGGCAGCAAGUGGCAACAAGUGCAAAACUCCAGAUAACCUUUUCUAAUUUCCAUUGAGUGUGUGUGUGUGUGUGUGUGUGUGCGCAUGCGUACACAAAAGUAAAGACUAGAGCUAAGGGGUGAAGACAGAGGACUCUAAGGAGAAAAAGAAAUUGAUAACCUCCCUCCAUCCCCAACAACUUUCUUCUGCAUCCAGGUACAUAACUACAAUAGAAUUAUUUACUUUAUGUUCUAAGACCCGCUAUCUUAUGGACUGAGAACGAAUUGAGCUGAGGACAGCUUCUGGAUGUGACUAAAGAGAUUUUCCGAGCCAGAGAGAUCAAGAAAGGGAUUGAAUAUCUUAGUCAGGAGGUGAGAAGGCGACUGUCCCACUCAGGCCUCCAGCAGGAAGCAGGGUGGCUGGGAGAGAAAUGGAAUGGGUUUUCUGGGGAAGAAGCAAUUCCUACCCUCUGGGUUUCUAAUCUUGUGUCAUGAUUUUCUCUGGAGCAGAAAGAAUUGGGGGAAAUGAGCAUAUUUUCCUCACUCUUCACCCAGAGGGCAGUCCUUAAGAAAAGAGUGAUCAUUUUCGAUACAUCUUCACUGAUCUACCAGUCUUUUGCAUGAUGAUUGCUUUAUUGAGAUUACAAACUGCCCUUAGGUCAGGCCUGACGGGUCAGCCCCUGCCUCCCGUGCACCAGGAAGAAAUUGACAGUUCGCGCAUCCAGCUUCACAUUAAUUAAUGCUUCACACGGCACUGUGCUCUUCCUUUGUCAUUCACAGGUUUUUGUGAAUCCUGCUGCUUACAAAAAAUAUAAGGCUAAAUCCAAAGGCUACACUUGGGUCCAGUGAAAGAGGGAAUUGGGGGGUAGAGAUGACAAGUGUAAUGAGAUGGAAGAGCUUCAGAAUUCAGUUUCCUAUCAAAUAAUUUCGAGCUUUAUGUAAGCUGCCCUUUUGCUAAUAGAAGGCUCUGGAAGCCCGAUGUUGGAAAUGUAUUAGCUAUGAGUUUGCUUGCGUUCGUGGCCAUAGAGGCCUCCCCAAACUUAAGAUUUCCUUUCCAGAAUGUCAAUACAAACAGCUUAUCCGGUGCAAAAUCUGAGAUUCAUUACCUGGUGUUAUGGAUCGAAGUUGUGUCUCCCCAAAAUAUGUGUUGAAAUCCUAACCUCUGUACCUGUAAAUAUGACUCUGUUUUGGAAAUAAGGUUUCUCUUCCGUUACGUUAAUGAUUUCAUACUAGUGUUGGGCGGAUCUUCAACCUAAUCACUCCUGAGUUAUAAAAAGGCAGAAUAAACUCCACACACACACACACACACACCCAGCACACACACAUGUGUGUGCGUACACAGGGGAAGACAGACAAAACGUGAGGACUGUCUGGAAGCCAAAGACUGCUAAGGAACUGAGGAGUGCCUGGGGCCGCUGAGAAGGAAGGGACGCAGCUGGGACCAUGGUUCAGACUUUCAGUCUCCAGAACUGUGAGAAAAUAAGUUUCCAUUCUUUAAAGUACCUGCUUGUGAUGUUUGUAUCACAGAGGCGCCGAGUGUCUAAGACGGAGGAAAAUAGAGAAAUAACCCGACACUACAAAACCACUUCUAAACGUUAGCCGCACAAUAACCCAACACUACAAAACCACUUCUAAACGUUAGCCGCACACCAAAAACCCACACACAAAAACAAACUCAUUGUCAUCCAGUCGAUUCUGACUCAUAGCGACCCUAUAGUCAGAGGAGAGCUGCCCCACAGGGUUUCCAGGGAACAGUUGGUGGGUUUGAACUGCUGACCUUUUGGUUAGCAGUCAAGCUCUUAACCAGUGUGCCACUAGAGCCCCCAUUAGCCUCGGAGAAUUUAUUUUGUCAAUCAGAUGUUCUCAUGUCCAGUGAAGAAAACUACUCUGUUAUAUUCAUUUUCCCCACACAAUUUCUUUGCUAAAAUAGGAAUAGCUUUGGGAAGUCUGCUUAUAUCAAAAUUUAAUGAUUGCUCAUUAAACAAGUUUGAAUUUGGUUAAUGUAGAUUUCAAAUAUACAUGAAUAAAUCCUAAAUGAUCCCUCACUAAUUAGAAAGAUGCUUCUGAGUUACUGGCUAUAACCUAAGUCGUUCAGAAUGAUGAAAGCUUCAAGACAAUGUUUUGUGGUUGCAAUCACUAAUUUGUCAGCAAAUUUGAAAUCAUAUCUAUAUGGUACCUGUCUUACAUAAUGAAUCAAUGUAAAAACACAAAAACAUAAACUAUAUAACUCCUUUUGACUUUUCACCACUAUAUCCCCAGGACCUAGCACGCUGCUCAAAGCAGUUGUUCAGUAAACAUUUGUUGACCGACCAGCUGGCAGAUCGUAAGGUAGCUUUCCCACAAUUAGGAAGAGAUUCUGAAUGCUCUUGGGUAGGCCAACAGA